rnacentral:rRNA from 1 species
GAUGAACGCUGGCGGCGUGCUUAACACAUGCAAGUCGAACGAGGUCCAUGGAGCUUGCUCCGGAAGACCUAGUGGCGAACGGGUGCGUAACACGUGAGAAACCUGCCCCGAUCUCUGGGAUAACAGUUGGAAACGACUGCUAAUACCGGAUGCCGUCCCACCGCUUCAUGGCGGAGUGACGAAAGAUUUAUCGGAUCGGGAGGGUCUCGCGGCCUAUCAGCUAGUUGGAGAGGUAACGGCUCACCAAGGCAUCGACGGGUAGCUGGUCUGAGAGGAUGAUCAGCCACACUGGGACUGAGACACGGCCCAGACUCCUACGGGAGGCAGCAGUGGGGAAUCUUGCACAAUGGGCGAAAGCCUGAUGCAGCAACGCCGCGUGCGGGAAGAAGGCC